rnacentral:rRNA from 1 species
GGCGAACGCUGGCGGCGUGCUUAACACAUGCCAGUCGAACGGAAAGGCCCUGCUUUUGUGGGGUGCUCGAGUGGCGAACGGGUGAGUAACACGUGAGUAACCUGCCCUUGACUUUGGGAUAACUUCAGGAAACUGGGGCUAAUACCGGAUAGGAGCUCCUGCUGCAUGGUGGGGGUUGGAAAGUUUCGGCGGUUGGGGAUGGACUCGCGGCUUAUCAGCUUGUUGGUGGGGUAGUGGCUUACCAAGGCUUUGACGGGUAGCCGGCCUGAGAGGGUGACCGGCCACAUUGGGACUGAGAUACGGCCCAGACUCCUACGGGAGGCAGCAGUGGGGAAUAUUGCACAAUGGGCGGAAGCCUGAUGCAGCAACGCCGCGUGCGGGAUGACGGCCUUCGGGUUGUAAACCGCCUUCGCCUGUGACGAAGCGUGAGUGACGGUAAUGGGUAAAGAAGCACCGGCUAACUACGUG